GUGGCCGCUGUGUGUUUCCUCCUCAGGUUUCCAGGAGGAUAAAGAGAGUCACUCAUCGUGACCGUCAGUCCAUCAGCUUUAGUCCAGGAAACGUCUCUGUCGCACAGAGUUUCUCUGUGUUUUAAGUUUCCUGAAGGAAGAGGCGAGCGAGACAAAAGGUGAAGGAUGACGUUUGUUAACACCAUGUGGAAGAGAAGAAGAGAAGGGGGUGACGAUCCGGAGAUGGUGGACGAGUUUACAGUGAAGGUGAAGGCCAGAGAAAGAGAGGGAUGAUGGGAAAUCUGGUUUGGCGAGGGCUUAACCGGAAACCAGCUGGAUCCAAAAGGACGCUCCUCCCGGCUGCACAGAUGGACCAUGGGAAACAAAAUGGUUGGAUGUUUGGGCCGGCAUCUCCUGAAGAGAGGAGAAAGAAAGAAGAUGUUAGCAGAGCUGCAAAUAUCAGUUGUUUUCAUUUUAAGAGGAAUUACGACUGACGACGACCAACGUGACUAGAGACUGACCUACAACUCACAACUAGCCAGUGACUUAACGACUAGCCAGUGACUUACGACUGAUGACAACUCACGAGAUUAGCGAGUGACUGACGACUCAUGCGACUAGUAAGUGACUUAAUGACUCGCGUGUGACUGAGUCACAAUGCAUAACGACUCACGACAACUCACGUGACUAGCCAGUGACUUAACGACUUGCAUGUGACUAACAAGUCACAACGACUCCCGCUGACUACCGAGUGACUAACCACUCACGACGAUUUAUGGGACUAGCGAGCGACUCAACGACUGACGACGCAUGCAACUAGCGAUUGACUUAAUGACUCUCAACGACUUGCGUGACUAACGAGUCACGACGACUCACAUGAUUAGCCAGUGACUUAACAACUCACAUGACUUCACAACUCACGUGACUGGACGACUCACACUGCUAGCGAGGGACUUACAACUCACAUGAGUAGUGAUGACUCACAACGACUAGUGAGUGAUUAAUGACAACUCGUGUGACUAGUCAAUGACUCACAACAAUUCACGUGACUAGUGAGUACCUACCGAGUCACGUAACUACCGACUCAUGUGACUAUCGAGUGACCAAUGAGUCACGUCACUAGCAAGUGACUUAACGACUAGCGUGACUACAAUAAUGUAAAUAAGUUGCCAAAUAAUUAUUCAAUGUAACGCUGGCUAGUGUACAUUCCAUAACAACCGCCGUUCCAUAGCAACCGCCGUCCCAUAGCAACCGCCUCAGCAUGUAUCAGCAGGAGGGCUUUUAUUAUUGUUAACAAUAUUAAUAAAAAAAUAUAUAUAAAUUCAAAUGUACCAACAUACCACGGCCUGAAGUGAACUAUUGCUUAAAUCUGCAUCAACACGCACAUCUCCUCUCCUAACAAACCACACCCAUACAUGAAUUUCUGCACCAUAUCAAUCCCCAACAUGCAAAUACAGUCUGUCCUAUUUAUAAGCCUGUUGUUCUGCCACACUUGUCUACACUGUAUAACCUGUUAUGUUUUGUUUUGCUUCACCAACUUCAAGAAAGGAGAGAGAAUUACUUUCAGAAAAUGACUCAUGCAUCUGGUAUUUAUCAGGUAACUGACUACUUGUUAGCGUGAGUUUAAUUUAAAGGGUCACAAGAGUUCGUUAAAAUUAACAUUAAAUUUAGAAAAACAAUCCUAAAGAUGAGACAUGGGGAGUGUUUCUAUUAACGUGGCUAAAGUUAAAACUGACUUCAAAUAUCCAGAUAGAUCCUGAUAUCUGUUUGAGUUCAGCCGAUUUCAAUGUUGGAAAUUGGGUUUCCUAAAUCUCCAGUAAGUUAAACACACAAUUAAAAAAACUGAAGCAGGUUUGUUUGAUACUCUAUUUAUUUAUUGAUUAUCUAUUACAUUUCCAUUCAUACUGUAUAAUUUAUUUAUAAUAUAAUAGCUGCUGCACCUUCCUUUAUUCUACAUAUGUACCGUAUACAUUGUUUCUACUUUUACUUUAUAUAUGUAUAUAGAGUAUGCAUAUAUUUUUACUAUGUCUACUGAGCAUCUUAGCCUCAAAAUGAAAGCCCUUGAAUAUGAAUAAAGUUCUGUUAUUU